CGAAAAUGAACGAGACCUUAACCUGCUAAAUAGCCAGGCUAGCUUUGGCUGGUCGCCGGCUUCUUAGAGGGACUAUCGGCUCAAGCCGAUGGAAGUUUGAGGCAAUAACAGGUCUGUGAUGCCCUUAGAUGUUCUGGGCCGCACGCGCGCUACACUGACAGAGCCAACGAGUUCAUCACCUUGGCCGGAAGGCUUGGGUAAUCUUGUUAAACUCUGUCGUGCUGGGGAUAGAGCAUUGCAAUG
rnacentral:rRNA from 1 species